GUGAUCUACGCGAUCGAGCAAGCUCUUAAAGAACUUGAAACAUUAUCGAGCGAGAACCAACCGAUGCUCCAAUAGUUGAAGACUGCUGUUUGUGAAUGUCCUGACCCCAUCAGCUCCUUUGUUGUGCAUUAUUAAGCUGCGUAGGAUUUUCAGGUUCUGUAUAGAUAAUAGAAUAAAAAAAGUCAUGGAAACUGAUCAGAUAAGCAAGAGACAGCGUUAGUUUCGUCAUACAAAAAGGUUUAUCUAUAGGAGAGGAUAUAUAGCUUCGCUUCAAAAGAAUAAUUGCAUUUGCGACUGAUAUUUUUAUAGAUUAUAAGCGCAUUUUAAUGAUUUUUUCUUUUUGUUGGUGGGUUUCAGAAAUAUGUUCAUUACACAUAAUAAUAGCAAGAGCUCACCUGUUUGAGAAGUUGCUUUCCAAAUUCCAAAGGUGGUUGCGGUCUUUCAACCCAAGGGGGUGGCGUUUUUCUUGAAGGAAAAUCUGUAAAAAAGCUAGCUUCAGCAAAAUAAGAAUAUGACCAAGUAGGUGGUGGCCUAAU